UCAUCUUGGACUCUCCAUGGCAACUGCUACAGGAAAUUGAGAUCAAAUUAAGAUAUAAAAUUUGAUUUUUGGAGGGUUUUUGGAAGCCAUUAGCAAGUAUGUAAUGAAGGAAUGAGUGGAUUUAGAUUACGUACACAGACUGACAGCAGAGCUUCAAACAAUUAAUUGAUUAACAAAAAAUUAAUUGUAGAGAAUUUUGAUCGAUUAAGUUUGAUCCAGUCAAAAGAUGAUUUUUCUCUUCUUGUAUCUUGGGGGAAAUAUUUGAGCUUCACUGUGGAGAAAGAUGAAGUGUGUGUGUGCACAGUGUGACAGUAGAAGUCUAUUUUCACACUCUGUGAGUGGCAGGAUUACGAACAUGAGCUGUGACAUCACAAAUAGUAUGGAAGCCAAUUCUGUUCCAAUACUUAGUGUACAGUCUGAUCCUGUCUCCAACAGUUAAACCUGUGAAAUUAGUUAUAUGUUCGUGUUACACAUGUGCAUCCUAUCUCUGUGUGUGACAAUCUCUAAAUGUCUAAAAGAUGUUAUUGAUAACAUUCAUCUACUAAAUGUGUCAGUCUCCACCUACAACAGCGCUGUUGUUGUUCCAAUCAUCUGUUUCCCUCAAAUGGUUGACAGUUUGCUGCAAACAUUAACAUCGCUAAUGCUGUCUAGUAAAUGUUAACAUUGCUAAUACUACUUAAUGUGAACAGUGCUAACAUAAACAUUGUUAACCCUAGCUAGCUAACGUCAGGGCAGUAUGGUAUAAUGGGUUUGGCCAUUUUCAAGUUUUUUUUCGCAGUCUUGGUUGCUGAUUUACUAUUGGCUGAGCCUUCUAAGAACCUGGAACUAUCCGUCAGAAUUCUUACACAGAGAUAAAUCUAACAAUCAUUUUGGACCUGAAUUCACAGUUUUAUAUGGCACAGUUCUGCAAGUUGAAAUGAUUUGUCUACAUAAAAAUGCUAUAAAUAUGACUAAGAACUUUUUUCUUAUACUAGUUUCUAAAACACUGAUUUCAAAUCAAUGAAUCACUUUGGUUUCACUCAACAACGCGUGGUUUCGCUCGAUUAAGCAGUUUUUUCCUUUCAAGCCUCCUCCCCUUCUGUCUCUUUGCAACUUUUUAUAUCUUUUUUUAUAUCAAAGACAACAUUAUGGAAAAAAACACAACUAUGGACUAAAAUGACCUGAAGGUAUGGAGGGUUAUUUUCUCUUACACAUGUGCAGAAUGUACAAGCUCGUUGAAGGUCGGUCAGCUGCAGGCUUUGUGGUGCAUUCAAGUGCAGUUUCCUUUUUCCAAUUCCCAUUUCCAUUUCGAAGUGCAUUAUAUAAUAUAAGCUGUAUUUUUCAACACUAUGUGUCACUUUAUUAUGACUAAUUAUUCCGUAAUUGAGAAAAUAAUCAACAGACUAAUUAAAAUCAUUUUUAAGGUUGGUUGCAGCCCUGACUGACACACACUCGACUCCACCGAAACAGUAGGCGUAUAAAAAUACAGCUUACAGCAGGAGUUUAUAAAAGGUUGAACCACUUAUUCACGAAGGACAAGGUUGUGUGGAUGUUGUCAGUGAGGUGGCAGCACUCAGGUUUUCCCCUGCAUUAUUUAUUUUCCGUAUUGGGGUGGUCUGACCCACUCUUGUAAUGAGAACUAGAGUCACGGUCUGUUUGGAGUCCCGGGGCAAUGCCGUGCAACCGUGUUGUAGGAUCAGUGCUCAACCACACAGGCCUCUACACAGCCACUGUUUGCUCAGACUUCUCUUGGACUGUAAAAGUCAAGCCUUGUUGACACAUCUGUGCUGUCUCUCCCUGAGGCUAAUGGCUAUUACAUCUGUCUGCUUCCUUUCAGAGGGAGAGGAAAACUACAAGAAUCAAAUGCUCUUUUGAAACUAGGCAAAGAGAAAACACUGACAGCUGAUGGAAAGCUGACAGCCUCCUGUGAGGGGAAUUACCACUGUUGAUCUUUCUCACAGCAAGUGAAGCAAGGCCUACAGGUGGCACUUGAAAUUCAACAAAGGCGGGGAAGUAGAGAUGGAGCAUGCGCAUUAAGCUUGUGCUCUUUAUACAAACAGCCAGCAGACAGUGAAUCCGAACUACAAGAGGAAGACGACAAUGAAAGUACAAGGAAACCAGAAUCGUUUGUGUGGACCGUUAAUGAGGUCAAACUGCUGCAACUCACACUCAACUGCAAGGCGAUCAGCUGAAGGCGUCCUGAAUCUCAUCGGUGCACUUGCCUCAGUGGCCGAUAUGUUUCCAUUUGGUUGUGAUAAAGAACACGCCUGUCUUCAACCAGGAUCCGAUAUCCUACAGAUUAUAACACUGCAGAC